rnacentral:rRNA from 1 species
CACGUAGGGGGCAAGCGUUGUCCGGAUUUAUUGGGCGUAAAGAGCUCGUAGGCUGUUCGAUAAGUCGGGUGUGAAACCUCCAGGCUCAACCUGGAGACGCCACCCGAUACUGUCAUGACUAGAGUCCGGUAGGGGAGCGUGGAAUUCCUGGUGUAGCGGUGAAAUGCGCAGAUAUCAGGAGGAACACCAGCGGCGAAGGCGGCGCUCUGGGCCGGUACUGACGCCGAGGAGCGAAAGCGUGGGGAGCGAACAGG